rnacentral:rRNA from 1 species
UACAGAGGGGGCAAGCGUUGUUCGGAAUUACUGGGCGUAAAGGGCGCGUAGGCGGCCAUGCGUGUCUUCCGUGAAAUCCCUCGGCUUAACUGAGGACGUGCGGAAGAAACUGCAAGGCUCGAGUCCGGGAGAGGGGGGUGGAAUUCCCAGUGUAGCGGUGAAAUGCGUAGAUAUCUGGAGGAACACCGGUGGCGAAGGCGGCAUCCUGGACCGGCAUUGACGCUGAGGCGCGAAAGCCAGGGGAGCAAACGGG